UACCAAACUGUUGCCUCGGCGGGGUCACGCCCCGGGUGCGUCGCAGCCCCGGAACCAGGCGCCCGCCGGAGGGACCAACCAAACUCUUUACUGUAGUCCCCUCGCGGACGUUAUUUCUUACAGCUCUGAGCAAAAAUUCAAAAUGAAUCAAAACUUUCAACAACGGAUCUCUUGGUUCUGGCAUCGAUGAAGAACGCAGCGAAAUGCGAUAAGUAAUGUGAAUUGCAGAAUUCAGUGAAUCAUCGAAUCUUUGAACGCACAUUGCGCCCGCCAGUAUUCUGGCGGGCAUGCCUGUCCGAGCGUCAUUUCAACCCUCGAACCCCUCCGGGGGGUCGGCGUUGGGGAUCGGGAACCCCUCAGACGGGAUCCCGGCCCCGAAAUACAGUGGCGGUCUCGCCGCAGCCUCUCCUGCGCAGUAGUUUGCACAACUCGCACCGGGAGCGCGGCGCGUCCACGUCCGUAAAACACCCAACUUCUGAAAUGUUGACCUCGGAUCACGUAGGAAUACCCGCUGAACUUAAGCAUAUCAAU
rnacentral:rRNA from 1 species